AGUGUAGAUAGAGGUUGCAAUAAUUAAUAUUAGUAUUGAUGAGGUAAGCACGAUGAUUUAAUAUGAAAGGAAUUAUUGCCGAAGUUUAUAAUUUUGCUUAAGGAUUAUAAGCUGGUUUUGUAUAAAAUAUAUACAAAACUGUCACAAUAAUUUGUGGGGAGCUAUCUUUGUG
rfam:Clostridium sp. 7_2_43FAA genomic scaffold supercont2.3, whole genome shotgun sequence.